AGUGGAUGGGGAGCAACCUAGUUGUGCGUGUGUAAAGGUAGUGCCAAGAAAAGCGAUGAUCAUGUUGGAAAUCAAUUCCCGGUACCCGAAACCGACACAGGUGGGCAAGUAGAGAAUACUAAGGGGCGCGAGGUAACUCUCUCCAAGGAACUCGGCAAAAUGACCCCGUAACUUAGGGAGAAGGGGUGCCACCGAGAGGUGGUCGCAGUGAAGAGGCCCAGGCGACUGUUUAGCAAAAACAUAGGUCUCUGCAAACUCGAAAGAGGAGGUAUAGGGGCUGACGCCUGCCCAGUGCCGGAAGGUUAAAGAAGUUGGUCAGUUUUAGGAUGAAGCUAGCGACUGAAGCCCCGGUGAACGGCGGCCGUAACUAUAACGGUCCUAAGGUAGCGAAAUUCCUUGCCGGGUAAGUUCCGACCCGCACGAAAGGCGUAACGAUCUGGGCGCUGUCUCGGAGAGAGGCUCGGCGAGAUAGGAUUGUCUGUGAAGAUACGGACUACCUGCAUUUGGACAGAAAGACCCUAUGAAGCUUUACUAUAGCUUGGAAUUGUGUUCGGGCUUCCUGUGCGCAGGAUAGGUGGGAGGCGUAGAAGGUAUUCUUGUGGGGAUACUGGAGCCAACGGUGAGAUACCACUCUCAGGAGGCUAGAAUUCUAACUUAAUUAAGGACAGUUUCAGGUGGGUAGUUUGACUGGGGCGGUCGCCUCCAAAAAGGUAACGGAGGCGUACAAAGGUUCCCUCAGACUGGUUGGAAAUCAGUCGAAGAGUGCAAAGGCAGAAGGGAGCUUGACUGCGAGAAGUACAGUUCGAGCAGGGUGGAAACACGGUCUUAGUGAUCCGACGGUGCUGUGUGGAAGGGCCGUCGCUCAACGGAUAAAAGUUACUCUAGGAUAACAGGCUGAUCUCCCCCAAGAGUUCACAUCGACGGGGAGGUUUGGCACCUCGAUGUCGGCUCAUCGCAACCUGGGGCGGAAGUACGUCCCAAGGGUUGGGCUGUUCGCCCAUUAAAGCGGUACGUGAGCUGGGUUCAGAACGUCGUGAGACAGCUCGGUCCAUAUCCGAUGUAGGCGUGAGAAUAUUGAGAGGAGCCUUCCUUAGUACGAGAGGACCGGGAAGGACGCACCGCUGGUGUACCUGUUAUGAUGCCAAUUGUAAACGCAGGGUAGCCAAGUGCGGAGAGGAUAACCGCUGAAAGCAUCUAAGUGGGAAGCCCACCUCAAGAUGAGUAUUCUGGUGUAAGGUCACGGGAAGACGACCCGUAAAUAGGCACGAGGUGGAAGUGCAGAGAUGUAUGAAGCCGAAGUGUACUAAUAGACCGUCGGCUUGACC
rnacentral:rRNA from 1 species